GUUAAUAUAGUUUUAAAACAAACAUUAGACUGUGGC
rnacentral:tRNA from 1 species